rnacentral:rRNA from 1 species
CCCUUAGAUGUUCUGGGCCGCACGCGUGCUACACUGAGUAAUUCAAUGGGUAAGGGAACGCUAGAGCAUUACCUAAUCUUGAAAUUUGCUCGUGAUGGGGAUCGACGGUUGCAAUUUUCCGUCGUGAACGAGGAAUACCUUGUAGGCGCAUGUCAUCAUCAUGCGCCGAAUACGUCCCUUCCCUUUGUACACACCGCCCGUCGCUCCUACCGAUUGAGUGAUCCGGUGAGGCUCUGGGACCUGGACGGAAAGAGCGUUUCGCUUGUUCUGUUUGGGAAACUUGGUCGAACCUUAUCAUUUAGAGGAAGGAGAAGUCGUAACA